rnacentral:rRNA from 1 species
CACGUAGGGUGCGAGCGUUGUCCGGAAUUAUUGGGCGUAAAGAGCUCGUAGGCGGUGUGUCGCGUCGGCCGUGAAAACCUGCAGCUUAACUGUGGGCUUGCGGUCGAUACGGGCAUCACUGGAGUUCGGCAGGGGAGACUGGAAUUCCUGGUGUAGCGGUGAAAUGCGCAGAUAUCAGGAGGAACACCGGUGGCGAAGGCGGGUCUCUGGGCCGAUACUGACGCUGAGGAGCGAAAUCGUGGGGAGCGAACAGG